AACGCUAGCGGCAGGCUUAACACAUGCAAGUCGAGGGGUAACAGGGAUUGCUUGCAAUCCGCUGACGACCGGCGCACGGGUGCGUAACGCGUAUACAAUCUACCUUUUACAUAGGGAUAGCCCAGAGAAAUUUGGAUUAAUACCUUAUAGUAUUAUAAAUUGGCAUCAAUUAAUAAUUAAAGUUUCGGCGGUAAAAGAUGAGUAUGCGUUCUAUUAGCUAGUAGGUAAGGUAACGGCUUACCUAGGCGACGAUAGAUAGGGGUCCUGAGAGGGAGAUCCCCCACACUGGUACUGAGACACGGACCAGACUCCUACGGGAGGCAGCAGUGAGGAAUAUUGGUCAAUGGACGCAAGUCUGAACCAGCCAUGCCGCGUGAAGGAUGACGGCCCUACGGGUUGUAAACUUCUUUUAUACAGGAAGAAAAUACCUUACGUGUAAGGUACUGACGGUACUGUAAGAAUAAGGAUCGGCUAACUCCGUGCCAGCAGCCGCGGUAAUACGGAGGAUCCAAGCGUUAUCCGGAUUUAUUAGGUUUAAAGGGUCCGCAGGCGGACUUUUAAGUCAGUGGUGAAAUCCUGCAGCUUAACUGCAGAACUGCCAUUGAUACUGAAAGUCUUGAGUGUGGUUGAGGUAGGCGGAAUGUGUUGUGUAGCGGUGAAAUGCUUAGAUAUAACACAGAACACCGAUUGCGAAGGCAGCUUACUAAACCAUAACUGACGCUCAUGGACGAAAGCGCGGGGAGCGAACAGGAUUAGAUACCCUGGUAGUCCGCGCCGUAAACGAUGAUUACUCGUUGUGCGCGAUACACAGUGCGUGACUGAGCGAAAGCAUUAAGUAAUCCACCUGGGGAGUACGUUCGCAAGAAUGAAACUCAAAGGAAUUGACGGGGGCCCGCACAAGCGGAGGAACAUGUGGUUUAAUUCGAUGAUACGCGAGGAACCUUACCCGGGCUUAAAUGCAGUUUGACCGGCUUAGAAAGGUCUUCUCUUCGGAGCAAAUUACAAGGUGCUGCAUGGCUGUCGUCAGCUCGUGCCGUGAGGUGUCGGGUUAAGUCCCAUAACGAGCGCAACCCCUAUUGUUAGCUGCUAACAGGUAAUGCUGAGGACUCUAGCGAGACUGCCACCGUAAGGUGUGAGGAAGGUGGGGGAUGACGUCAAAUCAGCACGGCCCUUACGUCCAGGGCUACACACGUGUUACAAUGGUCGAUACAAAGGGCAGCUACACAGUGAUGUGAUGCAAAUCUCAAAAAUCGAUCUCAGUUCGGAUUGAAGUCUGCAACUCGACUUCAUGAAGGUGGAUUCGCUAGUAAUCGUGCAUCAGCAACGGCACGGUGAAUACGUUCCCGGGCCUUGACACACCGCCCGUCAAGCCAUGGAAGCUGGGGGUACCUGAAGUCUGUCACCGCAAGGAGCGGCCUAG
rnacentral:rRNA from 1 species